GCGCACCGGCCCGCGGAGGCGGCGCUGACCCGGCCCAGCGGAGCGGCUCCCCCGGGCCAUGGGCAGCGGCGACCCCGGCCCGCACCGAGGGCAGCACCGGCAGAUGCGCUGAUGUCUGCCCCUUGCCAAGACCUGACCCACCCGAGGUUGGCAGAUGCGCAGAUGUGAGCGUGAAUCCCCAGUAAAAGAAUGAGUGAGAGAGACAUACAGAGCCUGAGCAAAUGGGUUUUCGUGCUCACUCUCUGCCUUACCACGCUGUGGGGACGACUGACACUGGCCUCCACCCAUCA